UACAGAGGUCCCAAGCGUUGUCCGGAUUGACUGGGCGUAAAGCGCACGCAGGCGGUUGCGCGCGUGGGGGGUGAAAUCUGGCCGCUUAACGGCCAGGCGCCAUCCCAUACGGCGCGACUGGAGUGAUGCAGAGGUCGAUGGAAUUGCCGGUGUAGUGGUGAAAUGCGUAGAGAUCGGCAGGAACACCCAGGGGGAAACCAGUCGACUGGGCAUCUACUGACGCUGAGGUGCGAGAGCGUGGGGAGCGAACCGG
rnacentral:rRNA from 1 species